rnacentral:rRNA from 1 species
GAUGAACGCUGGCGGCGUGCCUAAUACAUGCAAGUCGAGCGAACAGAUAAGGAGCUUGCUCCUUUGACGUUAGCGGCGGACGGGUGAGUAACACGUGGAUAACCUACCUAUAAGACUGGGAUAACUUCGGGAAACCGGAGCUAAUACCGGAUAACAUAUUGAACCGCAUGGUUCAAUAGUGAAAGGCGGCUUUGCUGUCACUUAUAGAUGGAUCCGCGCCGUAUUAGCUAGUUGGUAAGGUAACGGCUUACCAAGGCAACGAUACGUAGCCGACCUGAGAGGGUGAGCGGCCACACUGGAACUGAGACACGGUCCAGACUCCUACGGGAGGCAGCAGUAGGGAAUCUUCCGCAAUGGGCGAAAGCCUGACGGAGCAACGCCGCGUGAGUGAUGAAGGUCUUCGGAUCGUAAAACUCUGUUAUCAGGGAAGAACAAAUGUGUAAGUAACUGUGCACAUCUUGACGGUACCUGAUCAGAAAGCCACGGCUAACUACGUG